UUUUAAAAACCAUUUUAUUUUGAAAUAAACAGAUAUCACAAGUUGCAGGGAGUGUACGGAGAGGUUGUGUGUACUCUAUCCACUUUCCCCCAAUGGUUACACCUUACUUACCUGGUAGGUAUCAGAGUAUGGAAAUUGACAGUGGCACAAGGUGUGUGUGUGUGUGUGUGUGUGUGUGUGUGUGUGUGUGUGUGUAGUUCUGUGCCUUUCUAUCCCGUGCUUAGAUUGGUGUAACCACCACUGCAACCAAGUUCCAGAGCUAUGCCAUCACCACCAAGAUGUCCCUUGUGAGGAGUACAUUUUUCUUCUUUUUAGUCUGCUCAGUAUCGGGUUGCUUCAUACCCAAUGCUUGUGGUAUUUGGUUAAUACGAAAUGGUAGACUUUCUGAUCUUAGGUCUGGAGGCUUGUGGCUGUCAGGAUGGAAGGUGAAGCAGGCAGGGUUCUAACAGGUUGUUAAGACAGGGGCUGAUCCUCUUUGCCAGUAUGUGAUCAAAGCCUGAUGCAGGGCUGUAAAGUUGACUUCCGGUCACAUAUGGGCAAAGAACUCUUUGUAUUUUCCUGGGUGUGGAGCACAGCUUGUGCAGUCGUUUGGUUUAUAAGGCUCCUGGUGAAGAUAAGGAGGGGAGUACAGUAAUUAAUGAUCCGUCCUCUCUAAAUCAUCCUUGAGAAAAUCCACAGCUUCAUUUUUUCCAUUCUGCAAUGAAUAAGCCCCAGAGGCAUGUACUUCCUGUUUAUGAUGUGGUUCCCAGGAAAAAGGAGCAAACGCACCAGUAGCUGACGAAUCGCUUCAGUAAAGGAGGGCUUGAUUACAAAUUGCAUAUCAUGAAAAACCAGCUUUCAUUUUGCUGGAAAAGAAAAUGUUUCCAAAUGAUUUGGAUGUUUUGUACUCCUACUUGCUCUCUUUGCUCAAGUCUCAAAGCAAUCCCAACAGCAUGACUCCUGGAGAAUUAGAAAAGAGACUUCUCCCUUUGGGACAAAGACUUUGAUAAACACUUGUUGGCUAGGGUUUCAGAUUGCAUCAGUUCAGGGAACUCAUUCCAGGCCCCAGACCAAGAACAAGCUUUGACUUGAUUUCUAAAUUGCUUUCAGGAUGAUAUUUCCAGAUCUUGAUUUUAAAAUGCCAAAUUUUGCUUGCCCAUGAAACUGGUGUAUUCUGGUUUUCUCACGUGUAUUCCUGUAAAAAUGUAUUAAUUAAAUAUACUUUAAAAAUAAAUAUCAUCCUCUUCCUUUGGGAGAAUUUUUAAUGCUAAAUUUUCUUCCAGUAAUGAUUAGAAGUGAGAAUGGUUUUUGAGAACUUUAUGUUGUAAAAAUGGCUUAUAAGAACUUACACAAAAUUAAAAAUAAUUGGGAGAGAGAGUUCUCUACAAUCUUAUCACCUCUAACAGAACUAUUAUAAUUUCGGUGAAUUUUUUGCUCUAGCAGUUGCUUAAAGGAUAUUUGCAUGUAAGUUAAAAUCAUGUUUCCAUGAUUCUUUUAUGUUUUAUUUUGCUCUUAUUUCCCUAGCAUAUUUAGGGAACCAAAUUAAGUAUUGAUUGAUGGUGAUAGUGAUGAUAUUAAGACAUGGAUUUGGUUUAAAGAAAUACAUGCACCAUGAAGCCAUGUAAUUGAAUAAGUCAGAAGGAAAUUUAGUCUGUCUUUUUCCUGUGUCCACUCAAGAAAUGCUUUAAUAACAACAGGAGAAUCAUUGUUUAUUUUUUUCCUUUAAAUUGUGAAUCCAGGCCGUUCUUGAUGCCGUUUGUGACAUCAGCCAGCCAAAUACUUUGGAGGGAACAUCAAUACCAACAAGUUACAUCUGUUUGUGGCAUUUUCCUCAGGAUGGGACUAACAAGUUUGAUCUGUUUGUCUAUGUGGAUUAAUUCACAUUUAUUGUAUUACAGCAGCAUUUUAAUCUUAUUAGCUCUUCUCUUUAGGAAAUUACUCCUGGAAUUGAAUCAUACCAAGAAUUUCACCAGAGGAUUUUAUACAUUUGGGCUGUGGCAGCAGACCAAUUAAACCACAGAGCUGGUCUAGAGGUGAGAAGUCCAAGAUCAAGAGUGAGCAGAGUUGGUUUCUUCUAAGGAGCCUGAGGGAAGAAUCUGUUCCAGGAUAUCAGAUUGCAUUCAGUCAUCGUGUUCCAUUCGUCUCCAUUCUGCGACCAUUGUUUGAUCUUUCCUGACCAUAACAGUUUCAAAGAGUGCUGGUCAGGUAUUUUGUAGGCUGUCCCUCAGUUUGGGUUUGCCUGCUGGUUGGGUUUGCUGUGGCUACAUCGGGAAUACGGAUUUGGGGGAAGACUACCACACAGACAAACUGACCUUUUCACUGCACCAUAUUAGGGGUACAUGGCAUCAAUAUGACUUAGGAUUGGUGAUGUUAACCUUAAGCGUUUGGCUAGGGUAGUAUCUCGGGUUUCUCUACUUACUGUUUCUCUUUCCAUGCACUGUUCUUUAGAAGAGAGUCAUUAAAUCCAGUUCACACUCGAGGUCGGGGUGGGGGGGGGGUGUAUUUUAAAACUGCAUUCUAUCAACACUUAUCUAAUAUCCCUUUUUACCUCCCACUUCCAAAAGUCCACUCUGUUCCUGAGCAAAGCUUUGGAAGAUUCUGUGAUACAUUUCAGUUCAGUUCUUGGCUUUCUCCACUAUAUCCCAAGUCACUUGUCUGCAUCCCGGCUUCCAAAUUUUUGUUGCUAUUGUCUCCUCUCCUCUUUGUAUUUACGGUUUUAUGGGCUUUGAAAAAAAUCCCUUUACGGUAGUUUUAGUGAGCUUUCAGAGGAAGUGACAUUGAAUUAGUAUGUUCCAUCUGCCAUCUUUAUCUGGAAGCCUUGGGGGAAACAUUUUUUAAUCAUCAGAAUUGACAUUUAAUCUGUUUGGAUUUGCCAUUUCUAUUUGUUAUAAUUCCACCAUUAAUAUAAUCCAUGAAAUCACUGAAUGCUUUUUUGGUAUCAUUGUGGUAUCAUUGUUGCAUUUCAUGAAACACUGUGAUCCAUCAUGAAACUCAGUUCGAGGCACCUGGGUGGCUCAGUUGGUUAAGGGUCCAACUUCUGCUCAGGUCAUGAUCUCACGGUUUGUGGGUUUGAGCCCCGCAUCAGAUUCUGUGUCUCCCUGACUCUCUGCCCCUCCUCUGUUCGUAUUCUGUCUCUCUGUCUCUCUCAAAAAUAAAUAAACAUUAAAAAAAGAAGAAGAAGAAAAAGAAAGAAACUCAGUUCACAGCUAGAGAAGUAAGGCUUCUAAUGUUGGUUGGCAUGAUUGGCCCUGAUUAUCAAAGAGAGAGACAGAGCGUGAGUGGGGAAGGGGCAGACACAGAGAGGGAGACACAGAAUCCGAAGCAGGCUCCAGGCUCCGAGCUGUCAGCACAGAGCCCGACAUGGGGCUCGAUCUCACAGAUCGCGGGAUCAUGACACUGAGCUGAAGCCGGACGCUCAACCGACUGAGCCACCCAGGUGCCCCAACAGCUUUUUUUUUUUUUUUAAGUGUUCUGGAUAUUCUUGGUCCUUAAAGUUUCCAUAAAGUUUUAAGUGGGCUUGUCAAAUUCUUAAAACAACAACAAUAACAACAACAACACCUCAAAACCAAAAGCAGCAAACUAAACCUGUUGGGAAUUUUAAUUAGUAUUGAUUUGAAUUGGCAAAUGGUUUUUGAGUGAAUUGACAUUUUUAGCCCUAUCAAGUCUUCCAAUUCACCAUUUAUUUUAGUCUAUUUAGUGUCUUUCAAUAGAUACAGAGGUGUUGCAUAUCUUUUGAUAGGUUUAUUUCUAAAUACUUGAUUUUUUAUGCUCUUGUAAAAAGACAUCUUUUAACAAUUUAUCGUUGGUAUUUGGAAAUGCAGUUGAUUGUGGUAUAGUAAUUCUUCAUCUAGAAAUUUUACUAAAUGCUCUUAUUAAUUCUACUGGCUCAUCUUUUGGAGGGAGGUUUCUAUGUACAUAAUAUAGCAUCUGUAGAUAAUUAUACCUUUUAUUUGUUUUCCUUGACCUUCAUGUACUAGCUGGAAUCUCUACCACAACACAGAACAGAAGUAGUGAUAUCGGGAAACCUUUAAUUGCUCUUUUCAGAGGAAAAGCUUCCAACAUUCAACAUUGAGCAAACGAUUUCUUUGCUUAUCGUCCAUCUUCUCGACCUGGAAUGUAAAGCUGCAUAAGUUCCCAGCACCUAGGACAGGACCUGGCACCAAAAAGAUGGCACCCCGCCAGUCUGCUCUACUUUGACUCCUAGUACUCUGACCCUAAAGGAGCAUCUCCAACAUACGUCAGUAAAAUCGCUUUGGUUUACUGUUGCCUGGAGGAACCAAGGACUUGCAGAGUACACAAGGCUUUUCCUGCAGAAGAGAAAAAUACAAAUGCCACUUCCCAGCCUAACUCACAGAGCGUGGUGUCAGAGAAAAGAGAAAAUUGAGAAAAUACUUGGACUUCAAAGAGUUUAGGGGAGGAAUGGUUUCCCCUCUCCCAGACAUGUGUUUUCCACAUCUGAUAGUGUAACAUUCCUGGCCGCCUUCCACCAUUCAUUCGCUCCACUUUGGGGAAGAGGAGUGACUUACCUGCUGAUUUUGGAAGAGUGACAGGGCCUCUGCAGCCCUGCCCCCACCACUCUGCCUCUUGGAAAUGGCCACCAGCAGGUGGGGAGAGUCAGUCCUCCGAACAGCUCGGGGCCUUAAAGUGAGCCCUAGUGAGACAGGCCCUACUCCACAUCUGGAAGCCUGGGGACCUAAUCUUUCAGAUUCCGUGAUUCAGUAGCAGGAGGCCUAGGGUCUGCAAAUAGAAGCCACUUUCCCCGGCACCAGCUUUAACUGUGAUAAAGGUGAUGCUCACUAUCAUCUACCUUAUUUAGCCUUUUGUCUUGUUUAUCAGUUGGGCCAGACUGGGGGCAGGCAGAGUGGGUGCUAGUUAUUUUCCCCCCAGCUUUACUGAGGUGGAAUUGACAUAGAGCAACGUGGGAGGGUCGGGCGUCCAAAGUGUUGAUCUGACAUGCUUAUAUAUUACGCAAUGAUUACCACCAUAGCCUUAGCUGAUACCUCCAUCGUGUCACAUAACUACCGUCUCUUUUUUGUGGUGAGAACACUGGAGGUCUAUUCUCUUAACACCUUUCAAGUGUAUAAUAC